rnacentral:rRNA from 1 species
UACGUAGGCAGCGAGCGUUGUUCGGAAUUACUGGGCGUAAAGGGUGUGUAGGCGGUUCUUUAAGUUUGGUGUGAAAUCUCCCGGCUUAACUGGGAGGGUGCGCCGGAAACUGGAGUGCUCGAGCGUGGGAGAGGAAAGCGGAAUUCCUGGUGUAGCGGUGAAAUGCGUAGAUAUCAGGAGGAACACCUGCGGUGUAGACGGCUUUCUGGACCAUUGCUGACGCUGAGACACGAAAGCGUGGGUAGCAAACAGG